UACGUAGGGUGCGAGCGUUGUCCGGAAUUAUUGGGCGUAAAGAGCUCGUAGGCGGCUUGUCGCGUCGGCUGUGAAAACCUGGGGCUCAACCCCGGGCCCUGCAGCCGAUACGGGCAAGCUAGAAUUCGGUAGGGGAGACUGGAAUUCCUGGUGUAGCGGUGAAAUGCGCAGAUAUCAGGAGGAACACCGGUGGCGAAGGCGGGUCUCUGGGCCGAUACUGACGCUGAGGAGCGAAAGCGUGGGGAGCGAACAGG
rnacentral:rRNA from 1 species